UACGUAGGUGGCAAGCGUUGUCCGGAUUUAUUGGGUUUAAAGGGUGCGUAGGCGGCCCGUUAAGUCAGUGGUGAAAGCCUCCAGCUCAACUGGAGAACUGCCAUUGAUACUGACGGGCUUGAGUACAGACGAGGUUGGCGGAAUUGAUAGUGUAGCGGUGAAAUGCAUAGAUACUAUCAAGAACACCGAUUGCGUAGGCAGCUAACUAGGCUGUAACUGACGCUGAGGCACGAAAGCGUGGGGAGCGAACAGG
rnacentral:rRNA from 1 species